GACGUAGGGGACGAGCGUUGUCCGGAUUCAUUGGGCGUAAAGCGCGCGUAGGCGGCUUUGCAAGUCGGGUGUGAAAUCCCCAGGCUUAACCUGGGAACUGCAUUCGAGACUGCAUUGCUAGAGUAUGGGAGAGGGAAGUGGAAUUUCCGGUGUAGCGGUGAAAUGCGUAGAUAUCGGAAGGAACAUCAGUGGCGAAAGCGACUUCCUGGACCAAUACUGACGCUCAUGUGCGAAAGCGUGGGGAGCAAACAGG
rnacentral:rRNA from 1 species